rnacentral:rRNA from 1 species
AGAGUUGAUCCUGGCUCAGGAUGAACGCUAGCUACAGGCUAACACAUGCAAGUCGAGGGGCAGCAUGAUCGAAGCUUGCUUGAUGAUGGCGACCGGCGCACGGGUGAGUAACGCGUAUCCAACUUCCCUGUAGUAGAGGAUAGCCCGGCGAAAGUCGGAUUAAUACUCUAUGUUGUAUUUAGAAGACAUCUGAAGAAUACCAAAGGUUUACCGCUAUAGGAUGGGGAUGCGUCUGAUUAGGUUGUUGGCGGGGUAACGGCCCACCAAGCCUACGAUCAGUAGGGGUUCUGAGAGGAAGGUCCCCCACAUUGGAACUGAGACACGGUCCAAACUCCUACGGGAGGCAGCAGUGAGGAAUAUUGGUCAAUGGACGUAAGUCUGAACCAGCCAAGUAGCGUGCAGGAUGACGGCCCUAUGGGUUGUAAACUGCUUUUAUAUAGGGAUAAAGUGCACUACGUGUAGUGUUUUGUAGGUACUAUAUGAAUAAGGACCGGCUAAUUCCGUGCCAGCCGCCGC